UACAGAGGUCUCAAGCGUUGUUCGGAUUCAUUGGGCGUAAAGGGUGUGUAGGUGGCGCGCUAAGUCGGGUGUGAAAUUUCGGAGCUUAACUCCGAAACUGCAUUCGAUACUGGCGUGCUUGAGGACUGGAGAGGAGACUGGAAUUCAUGGUGUAGCAGUGAAAUGCGUAGAUAUCGGGAGGAACACCAGUGGCGAAGGCGACUACCUGGCCUGUUCUUGACGCUGAGGCGCGAAAGCUAGGGGAGCGAACGGG
rnacentral:rRNA from 1 species